rnacentral:rRNA from 1 species
CCUACGGGUGGCAGCAGUGGGGAAUAUUGCACAAUGGGGGAAACCCUGAUGCAGCGACGCCGCGUGAGUGAAGAAGUAUUUCGGUAUUUAAAGCUCUAUCUGCAGGGCAGCAAAUGACGGUACCUGACUACGAAGCCCCGGCUAACUACGUGCCAGCAGCCGCGGUAAUACGUCGGGGGCAAGCGUUAUCCGGAUUUACUGGGUGUAAAGGGGGCGUAGACGGCAACACAAGGCUGGAGUGAAAUGCCGGGGCUUAACCCCGGUACUGCUUUGGAAACUGCGGAGCUGGAGUGCAGGAGAGGUAAGUGGAAUUCCUAGUGUAGCGGUGAAAUGCGUAGAUAUUAGGAGGAACACCAGUGGCGAAGGCGGCUUACUGGACUGUAACUGACGUUGAGGCUCGAAAGCGUGGGGAGCAAACAGGAUUAGAUACCCUAGUAGUC